AUUAAAUGAGAGUUUGAUCCUGGCUCAGGACGAACGCUGGCGGCGUGCCUAAUACAUGCAAGUAGAACGCUGAAGACUUUAGCUUGCUAAAGUUGGAAGAGUUGCGAACGGGUGAGUAACGCGUAGGUAACCUGCCUACUAGCGGGGGAUAACUAUUGGAAACGAUAGCUAAUACCGCAUAACAGCAUUUAACCCAUG
rnacentral:rRNA from 1 species